GACGGAGGAUGCAAGCGUUAUCCGGAAUGAUUGGGCGUAAAGCGUCCGCAGGUGGCAGUUCAAGUCUGCUGUCAAAGACCGGGGCUUAACUUCGGAAAGGCAGUGGAAACUGAACAGCUAGAGUAUGGUAGGGGCAGAGGGAAUUCCUGGUGUAGCGGUGAAAUGCGUAGAGAUCAGGAAGAACACCCGUGGCGAAGGCGGCUCUCUGGAACGCAACUGACGCUGAGACGCGAAAGCGUGGGGAGCAAACAG
rnacentral:rRNA from 1 species